GGAGCAACAUGAGUUUCCUGAAACUUGGGAAACUGACCGGGAAAUGGAGGUGACUUUGAGCAGCAGAUCAGGAAACAGGGUUUAUUAGCACAGACUCCACCUCUUGAAUUUGCUGUUCAUCCGAUUCGACUGGGAGAUUGGGUCUUAGUAAAAUCAUGGACAGAGACUAAAGUACAACCGGACUGGGAAGGGCUGUACCAGGCUCUUUUGACCACCGAAACAGCGAUAAGAAUGGCGGGGAAAGGCUGGACUCACUACACUCAGUGGAAUCUCCAGUUGAGGAAGAGGUCUGGACAGCCGAAUCAACACAAGACCCACUGAAACUCAGGAGUCCCUAACGGGGUACCUGAUGAGUUCAAGGCUCGCAACCAGAUUGUGGCAGGCUUUGAGUCAGCUCUCUUCUGACAAGUUUGUGUGCCAGUGAAUUUGUGAUGUGAUCCAUACAGCCUCACCCAUAAUGGCUUUUUG